GAGAGAGAGAGAGAGAGAGGGAGAGAGAAGGGGAAUUAAGAGAAAAGGAAAACAAAACACGCGCUUCUCCGCUCGUCGCCGCGACGACGGGCGUGCAAUGGCCACUGCGCGACUCGCGGAGUAGACCUGGUGGCCCGCGGCGCGUCUCGUCGCGUCCUCUCGCUCCGCUCCGCUCCGCUCAAUCGCGCCCGCAUCGACGCGCGGGUGCGAGCGAACGAACGAACGAACGAAGCAACGAAAAAGCCGGUCGGAUUCGCCCGUCGAUCUCGCGACGGUCGCUCGCUCGCUCGCUCGCGUGUGUGUACGCGCGCGCGCGCGCGCGCGCCCGCGGCUCUUAUCCUCGAGCGCUUCUGGUGAAUAAAGUGCGUGCGGAUCACAAGUGCCCCAGCGGUCAAGUGUUGUAGCGAAGCCUCUAUGUGUGCGGCCCGUUGUCGAGUGUGCGUUGUCGCGCUGCCGCCGCUGCCGGCGCUCGGAUCCCUCGUCGCCCACGGACGGUGGAUUUAUCAGGCGCGGCGUCGUCGUCUCCCCUAGACGCGCUUCGGACCUCGCCACCCUUCUCGCCCUCGGCGAGGCUCGUCGACUUGGACGUCGUAUCGACGUUGGCUCUUUGGCUCCGGCGACUAUCUGGGAUACUCUGCCGCGCUUCCCAUCACCACGGUCCAAAGGCGCGGAAUAAUUCGGAACAACGGCCGCGCUUCGCCCCGCCUCGCCUCGUCUUUUGCAGAAAACAAUCCUCCGUUAUUAGACGACUGCAAUAAGCCGUAAUCGCCGGGCCGAAAGUAACGCACCCGGAGAAACGUCGUAUCGGCGAAAGAGGAGGAGGCACGGAUGACCGCAGCGGGCGCGCUCACGUCCCAAUUAAAGAAAUGGAUACGGUAAUUACGAAGCCGAGUCGACGACUAGGAAUACGGGCCAAUUCGGCGCGUUAAACACUCCCCCGGCGAUUCACGUUCCGGCUGGGGCUCUCGCGGAUCUGGGAUGGCCUUCUGGGAGCAAAAGUGGCAACGGCAGCAGCAGCAGCAGCAGCAGCAGCAGCAGCAACAACAACAGCAGCAGCAACAGCAGCAGCGGCAGCGAUAUCGGAUCAAACUCAGUUAACAAACCCGUGUCGUCGCCGUAUCGGACGCGCAAGUAGAUAGAUUUUAAAUCGAGUCACCUGUGCGGGACAACGGUAACGAAGUUAACGCGGCAAAAUAAUCCAGGGGCGAUUGGAUCACGUAUUCCGUAUGGAAGCACGUGAAGCGAGACGGUAGUGGAUACCCCGAGGAUGGUGGAUGCCGCGGGGAAGAAAUUGAAUCUUGUACGCCGCCUAAUUGCCCGACACGUCGCAGACGUCAAGGAGGAUUCUAUCUGAUGCGGGACGCGAAAGAAUGUAGAUACAAGUAUAGUUCCAAGGGAGACGCUGUUAAUCCUAUCCUACCCCAUUGGAAACCUUUGGCGCGUGUCGACGGUAUCCGCGAUCGAGCGCGAAAGCACAGGCUAUAAAGUAUAACGCUACGUCGAAGGGAACGUGCCGGAUGUCGCGCGGAGGAAGAGGAGUGACACGGUGAGGGAGAGCAGCUAGAGACAGCCGAUCUC